rnacentral:rRNA from 1 species
AUGAACGCUAGCUACAGGCUUAACACAUGCAAGUCGCGGGGCAGCAUGGGGGUUGCUUGCAACUCCCGAUGGCGACCGGCGCACGGGUGAGUAACGCGUAUCCAACCUGCCCUUCACCACGGGAUAACCCGGCGAAAGUCGGACUAAUACCGUAUGUUGUCCAUUGACGGCAUCCGAUUUGGACGAAAGGCUUUGCGGUGAAGGAUGGGGAUGCGUCCGAUUAGCCAGACGGCGGGGUAACGGCCCACCGUGGCUACGAUCGGUAGGGGUUCUGAGAGGAAGGUCCCCCACACUGGAACUGAGACACGGUCCAGACUCCUACGGGAGGCAGCAGUGAGGAAUAUUGGUCAAUGGGCGUAAGCCUGAACCAGCCAAGUAGCGUGCAGGAUGACGGCCCUAUGGGCUGUAAACUGCUUUUAUGCGGGGAUAAAGUGGCCCACGUGUGGGCUUUUGCAGGUACCGCAUGAAUAAGGACCGGCUAAUUCCGUG